rnacentral:lncRNA from 1 species
CAUUGCUGUUUAGUGAGGAGUGGGUGAGGAGGAAGCAGGGUUGCAGGAUGGCAGUGGCCGUCAGGGGCCAAAUUAGAGAUGGCUGUGUGGCUGGGGCUGUGAUCCAUGGGGGAGGACAGUCAGUUCUGAGUUUUAUUGUCUUCUGGCUUCAGCAGGAAGGGGAAUGGUGGAGAGAAUCAAGGCUGGUUCCCUGGUUCUGCUUUGGGUAACUGGGUAGCCAAAAUCUCCUGACUCUACAGAUAACCACAGAGGAACAUCUUCUGUCAUCUGGGGGUACCAAGGCCAGGUUGACCUGAUGGAAGGUUUGAGGACUUUACAAGCUGGUUCAGACUCCAAUUUAGGACCUACCAGCUCUGUAACCCUAGGUAGUUACAUGACUUCCUGGGCCUUCCUGAGUCUCUCAAAUCUCAGGACCAGCUGUGUUUCGGGGCUGCCACAGGCUUGCCUAGCUCACAGACCCCAUCAGACUGCCACUGCCUCCUUUUGUAGCUGCCCCGUAAAAAUCCCUGUCCCCAGAGCCCAUGAUCUCCUUGGGAAAACUGUGACUUUCUCAAGGACCCUUAAACACUUUUCUAAUCCUUAGGGUGACCAAAAUACACUGGGGACAAGGGAAUCCCUGAUCUUGUCAUCACCUAGGAUAGGGGGCAUAGCAACUUUCCAAAUAUGUGUUUUGCUUUACCAUCUACAGAUUCUUCCAUUUCAGUCAUAGUGUCCCUCUCUGUUUUGGCUAAAGGGCUCCUAUCUCCAUCAAUGCAUAUUACCUGUUUCCACUCUGAUUGUUGUCCCCAAAUUAGGGACCAUUCAUGGAGAUAUCCUUUGUUCCCCACCAUGGCCUACUUGCCCUUGCUCCUUGCCUUUUCCAUCCCCCACCCACAGGCAGUUACUUCUACAUUUGCUACCUCAAAUGUCCUCCUCUUUCUCACAAACCAUCCUUCUUCCUAUCUCAGGAAACAUGUCCGAGCACCUUACCCUCGCCACUGCACUUGCCUACCCACUCUGCUGCCAUCUCCAGGCAGGCUGAGCAUCCUGAGGCUCUUGUCCUCUGCCUUCCUUACAUCUUCCCCUCUAACCCCACCACUGCCAGCUCUCCCUAGGGCUUCCUAACUUGGCUGGCCCCAUUGAUUGCCCCUUCCCAGGAGCUCUUUCACUUCCCAUUGUUUUUCUUUUCCCUAUUUUCUUCCCCCCAGCUGUGGCUCUCCCUGCCUCAACCUCUGCCCUCAUCCUGUACCCUCUUUCCCUCUGAAGAGGAUAAAGCCAUUACUGCACACAACCACCUUCUCUAUUCACAGAAUCUUGACUCCAGCCAGCACCCGAACAUCUAACUUCAUCUUUCUUUCUUUCUUUUUUUAUGGUGCUGGGGAUUGAACCUAGGGUCUUGUGGUUCAUGUGAGGCAAGCACUUUACCAACUGAGCUAUAUCCCCAGCCUAACUUCAUCUUUCAAAGCCCUUUUUUUUUUUUUGAAUGUGAGAUCAUUGUGAAUAAUUUGGAAGGUCCAUAUGAAGAAACCAGGGAAGAAAGUCACCCUUCAUUCCAUUUCCAAUAUUCCUCAAAAUAUAUUGGCACUUUUCUUUAUUGUCAUUAAAAAAAUAAGUUUGGGUAGAUUUCUAGAAGUAGGAUAGAUAAUUCAUUUGCAUAAUUAUGAUAUUAUUUCUUUACUAUUACUGUGUUUUCUUUAGAGCACAGUAAAAUAUAUUUUAAAACAUAAAAAAUAUGUUUGGUAGUUUUUCUCAUAUACGUAAUAUGAUUUUAUUACAGAAAAUGCAUAAAACACAAAAACUCAUCAUUUCAUGACCCCAGAGUUAUCUGCUCUGAAAUUGCUGGAGGGUAUUUUUUUAUAUAUAUUUAUUUAUUUAUUUAUAAAAUUGGGGCCACAUAGAAAUACUGAAUAUAUAUCCAUAGUACACUUGAGCUACUCAUAUUAUCACAUCUCCUUGAUGUUUCCAAUUUAUUAUAGCCUCUUCCUCCCCAAUCAUUCAAAAUCUGACUAGUAUUCCCCCUUAAAUUGAAUCCACAGGUUUCACUUGGCGUUUGGAAUCCUGCUUCCCAAUGCCAAGUGAAGAGAGCAGGCUUUUCAGUCCAUAACUCUAUUCUUCCUCUUGGCCAUGGGGUGUCACUGUUAAGUACUGAACCCGCACGGCCCUAUAGUACCCAUUCAUUCUAGUAAUGCUCUUAGUUGAUAGGGGGCCCUCUCCAGGCUCCGUGGGCGUCUCUCAGUUCCAGGCCCCACAGUUAUCAUUUCCUUAGUUCACAGAAAUAAACAAACAAACAAACAAACAAACAUAUAUAUCCCCGUAGAGCAACAUACCAGCCAGGGAAGCUGGAUUCCAGGCUGUCAUUACUAGCCCUUUUUUUCCUGGGCCAUUAGACUCUUAAGCCCAGGUUACCAGCUUUGGAUGGACCUGUCUUGGUACAUUUCACUUUGAAACCUCUGAUGUCCUUUCCUUUCACUGGGCUUUGAGUAGGGUCUUCUAGGAUCACCUGAAAUGACCCGGUUAUUUCGGGUCUUCUAGAAUAGGAGUUGAGGCCUGGGUCUGUGCAGCAAAGCAUUCACAUAGCAGGCCUGGGGCUGCUAGUCUUGGCAAGGCUGCCGCUGACUUACAUUUAGGAACCUGAUAGGUGAACAGUUCCCUAUAAUCAUAUGAGGUUUCUCCAAAUGGCAAGGCUGGCUCACUCCCCUUGACUGCUUGUACAAGCUGCUUUUCUUCUGGAAGUCUGGAAGUUGGGUGUGUGUUAGGCAGAGAGUUCCUAUGUGAUCAGCCCUCUCCCGGAAGACAACACCUCAUACAAGUUGUUGCAACUUGUUGCUGGAGGAACUGAGUACUUUCUAGCCACUUCUCAGAAGUUCUUAGAAACCUGAACUGUUUUCUCUGGACUUCACCCCAAGCCCCUUUCUCUUUGCUGGUUUGGCUUUGUGUCUGUUACUGUAAUAACUCUCAGCUGUGAAUAUGACUCUGAAGGAGUUCAGUGAAUCAUUAAACCUGUUCCCCUAACAAAGUCCCUUACCAGAAGGCCUUGGAGUCCUGAUGCUAAGUGGUCUUUAUAUAUCCUGGGAGUGAUGUUACAGAUUACAGACCUGCCUUUUUCAGACUGAAAAAUUCCUACACCCUGGCACCAUUAUUUUACAUAACAAAUGCAAGACCUUUCUAGUUAGUCAUUUUUUUAAAAAAGGAAAUAUAAAAAGAAAACAAAAAAAGUGAGUCAUGUCUUACCAAUAACUUGUGUCAAUGGGGCUCCCUGUAACCUCUUCCCCUGCUUUUUAUCCUAAAAACCUGUUGGCACAUAUGUUAUUAAAAAUAUUUUGUCUUUGCUACCACAGAUACCCUUCUACUCUGGUACCCUGCUUUGCUCUCAUCAUAUUCCGUCAUUACUGACCUUCAGCAUAAUUGUCAGCAGUUGUCAAUGCUCCCCUAUUGGGCAGGCUACAUUUCUGUUUGUUCAUUUUGAGACAGAGUCUCCUUAAGUUGCCCAGGCUGGCCUUAAAUUUGCAAGACCCUCCUGUCUCAGUCUCCUGUGUAGUGGGAUUGCAG